rnacentral:rRNA from 1 species
UUUUAAGAGGAUUAUUCAGUAAUUAAUUUUAAUUAUUAAUGAAAAUUAUAAUUAGUAAUAAUUUUUAUUUUUAACUAAAUUUGUGCCAGCAGUUGCGGUUAGACAAAUAAUAAGAUUUAAUUUUUUUAGUAUGAAUUUUUUAUAAUUUAUAUAUUAUGAUAAUAGGUUUAUUAGGUGAAAUUAUGAGCUUUAACUAAGAUAUUAAGAUUUAAAUUAAAUUUAUAAAUUUAAUAAAUAAACUAGGAUUAGAGACCCUAUUAUUUUAAAUGUGAGUAUUUUACUUAAUCAGUAUUUGUGAUGUUCAUUAAAGUUAAAAAUUUUGGCGGUAUUUUAUUCUUUUCAGAGGAACCUGUUUUUUAAUUGAUAAUCCACGUUUAUAUUUAUUUAUAUUAUUAAUUUAUGUAUCGUCGUUAUUAAAUAUUUUUUUAGAAAUUUAAUAUUUAAUAUUUUUAAUUAAAAAAUAAUUCAGAUCAAGGUGUAGUGUAUAUAUAAAUUAAAAUGGGUUACAUUAAGAAUUAUUUGGGAAAAUUAAUUUUAAUAUUAAUUUGAAUAUGGAUUUGAGAGUAAUUUUAUUUAUUUAAAUAUUAUGAUUAAAGUUUUAAAAUAUGUACAUAUCGCCCGUCGCUUUCAUUAAUGUGAAAUAAGUCGUAACAAAGUAAAUUUACUGGAAGGUGAAUUUAGAUUC